CGCGAAAUUGCAACGGCCGAAGGCAUGAGUCCGUUUCGAGCAUUGGGGGGCGUGCUGAGGGCUGGCGGAGCCGGUCCGUGGUGGCGAGCGGGUCGGGGGACCCUGGCCAGGUGCGGACCACAUCCCGGGAGAGCGCGUUCCCACGAGGCUCCGCCCACGCAAGCCGUCGCCAGUAGCUCCAGCUAUGUGGAGGACAUGUACUUUGCCUGGCUGGAGGAUCGUAACAAUGUCCACGAGUCGUGGGACGCCUUCUUCCGGAACGUCCAGAGCUCGGGCGGCUCCGGCGAGGAGGCUCAGACGCGCCCCUCCGCCCUCCUCCAGGGCCGGCCCGCGUCCCACUCGCCGGACGUGACACAGAAAGUGGUGGAGGACCACCUGGCUGUGCACACGCUCGUCAGAGCCUACCAGAUUCGCGGUCAUCACGUGGCCCAACUGGACCCUCUGGGCAUCUUGGACGCCGACCUGGACUCGUUCGUCGUUCCCUCUGACCUCAUCACCGCGAUCGAUAAAUUAGGUUUCUACGGUCUGCAUGAGUCGGACCUGGACCGGAGCUUCCGCCUCCCUCACACCACCUUCAUCGGCGGAGGAGAGACGACGCUUCCUCUCAGGGAGGUCAUACGGCGACUCGAGGAUUCGUACUGCGGACAUGUGGGGGUGGAAUUCAUGUUCAUCAACAACGUGGAGCAGCGUCAGUGGAUCCGUCGCAAGUUCGAGACGCCGGGAAUCAUGCGCUUCACGGCCGCCGAGAAACGAACGCUGCUGGCUCGGCUGAUACGAUCGACGCGCUUCGAGGACUUCCUGGCCAGGAAGUGGUCGUCGGAGAAACGCUUUGGACUGGAAGGCUGCGAAGUCCUCAUCCCGGCUCUCAAGACCAUCAUUGACAGUUCCAGCGCCGCCGGUAUCGAGAGCGUCAUCGUGGGGAUGCCGCAUCGGGGUCGACUUAACGUCUUGGCCAACGUGAUCCGGAAGGACUUGAACCAGAUCUUCUGUCAGUUCGACCCCAAAUUAGAGGCGGCGGAUGAAGGUUCCGGCGACGUCAAAUAUCACCUGGGGAUGUACCACGAGAGAAUAAACCGGGGGACGGAGAAGAACAUCACGCUGUCCCUCAUGGCGAACCCCUCCCACUUGGAGGCGGUGGAUCCGGUGGUCCAGGGCAAGGCCAAAGCCGAGCAGUUCUACAGGGGAGACUCGCUGGGGAAAAAGGUGAUGUCCAUCUUGAUGCACGGAGACGCCGCUUUCGCUGGCCAGGGUGUCGUGUAUGAAACGUUCCACCUGAGCGAACUCCCCUCGUACACCACACACGGUACAAUCCAUGUGGUCGUCAACAAUCAGAUCGGCUUCACCACCGACCCCCGGGUGGCCCGCUCCUCGCCUUACCCCACCGACGUGGCUCGAGUCGUCAACGCCCCCAUUUUCCACGUCAACGCCGACGACCCCGAGGCCGUCGUGUACGUGUGUCGCGUGGCCGCCGAGUGGCGGAGCGCCUUCAACAAAGACGUCGUCAUCGACCUGGUCCGUCCCGGAACUACGGUGGUGUGUUACCGGCGCUCGGGCCACAACGAAAUGGACGAGCCUUCGUUCACGCAGCCGCUGAUGUACGAGCAGAUCCGGCGCCAGGAACACGUUCUGAAGAAGUACGCCGACAAGCUCAUCGGCGACGGGGUCGUCACCCUGCAGGAAUUUCAGGAGGAAGUGGCCAAAUAUGACAAGAUAUGCGAGGAGGCCUACGCCAGCUCCAAGGACGAGAAGAUCUCGCACAUCCGACACUGGCUGGACUCGCCCUGGCCAGAAUUUUUCACAGAAGAGGGAGAACCCAAGACCAUGACCUGCCCCCCCACAGGACUGGAUAAGGAAGUCCUGCAGCACAUCGGCCAGACCGCCAGCUCCGUCCCUUUGGAAGAUUUUGCCAUCCAUCCUGGCCUGUCUCGAAUCCUGCGCAGCCGAGCCGACUUGGUGCGCAGGGGUCAGAUGGACUGGGCCUUGGGAGAGUACGUUGCCUUCGGGUCGCUCCUCAAAGACGGCGUCCACGUGCGUCUCAGCGGCCAAGACGUGGAGAGGGGAACGUUCAGUCACCGUCAUCAUGUUCUCCACGACCAAGAGGUGGACAAACGCACCUGCGUCCCCAUGAACCACCUGUGGGCCGACCAGGCGUUGUACACCGUCUGCAACAGCUCCUUGUCUGAGUACGGCGUGCUCGGGUUCGAGCUGGGCUUCGCCAUGGCCAGUCCCGACGCCCUCGUCCUGUGGGAGGCGCAGUUCGGAGACUUCCACAACACCGCCCAGUGCAUCAUUGAUCAGUUCAUCAGCUCGGGGGAGGCCAAGUGGGUCCGCCACAACGGCAUCGUUCUGCUCCUCCCGCACGGCAUGGAGGGAAUGGGUCCAGAACAUUCCUCUGCCCGACCUGAGCGCUUCCUGCAAAUGAGCAAAGAUGACCCGGAUCACUUUCCCGAAUUUGGGGGAGAUUUUGAAGUGCGGCAGCUGUACGAGUGCAACUGGAUCGUGGUCAACUGCUCCACGCCGGCUAACUACUGCCACGUGCUCCGACGGCAGAUCCUGCUGCCGUUCAGGAAGCCGCUGAUUAUAUUCACUCCGAAAUCUCUGCUGAGGCACCCCGAUGCCAGGUCCAGUUUCGAGGACGUCGCCAUAGGUACUAAAUUCAAGCGGCUGAUCCCAGACGAGGGCCCGUCCGGUCAAAGUCCAGAGCAGGUCAGAAGGCUGAUCUUCUGCACCGGAAAAGUCUACUACGACCUGACCAAAGAGAGGAAGCGGCAAAACUUGGAGAACGACGUCGCCAUCGUCCGACUGGAGCAGUUCUCGACGCCCUCCCUAGCGUCCGUCGGAUCUCCUUGUCCAGAUCUCUCCGUUCCCCUUCGACCUGGUGAGAGGCGAGGUGGAGAAACACAAGCGCGCCGAACUGGUCUGGUGUCAGGAGGAGCACAAGAACAUGGGCUACUACGAUUACGUGCGGCCCCGCUUCACCACCGUGGUGGCCAACGAGAGGCCCGUCUGGUACGUCGGGCGCGGCCCCGCCGCGGCCCCCGCCACGGGGAACAAGUCGACUCACCUGAAUGAGCUGAAAAAGUUCGUGGACGCGGCCUUCAACCUGAGCGCCUUCAAGGGGAGGGAAGCUUGAGCCGCUCCGGAGGUUCGAAUAUUUGCCGGGUACGCGCGUUUGAGCCGAACGCACCUCAGAGAAUCGAUACGAGCUGCGAAGUUCUGGAACGGGAGCACCAUGGCCGGGCUGGAGUUGACCGGCAGCGGCAGUCUGUUGUCGAGGAGUUUGCGGUGCAGGAGCUCCCCCAGACCUCCAGGGGCGCCAAAGCGCUUCACCCCCUCCUGGGUUUUUUGAAAGUGCUCGUCAGUGAGCAGCUCUUUGACGCAUCUCAGGCCGGCGACGUAGAGUGUCCGAUAAGCGAACAAUUAAAUGCUCCUCCACUAGGUGGCAGAAGGUAAGAACUUGCGCUUCCACCCGUUCGGUUUUAUGCGGCAGAAUAAGUUGUCGACUUACGUUUGGUAUUUUGCGAGAUUAUCAUUGUUUUAUGCAUUCAUAUGCUGCGCGAUGUUUUGAUUUGUUUGGGCGGUGUUGGGGAAAAUGUCGUAAAGCAGCAACACCACGAAUCUAGCAUGCACGCAACCUUGAAGCCAUGUUACGCGUGUAUGUACACGGGCUGUAACAUGUUAUUUUACAUUAAAACAUGGGAAAGGAAUAUUUUUGAGAUCACUUUUGAGUAGGCGGCAUGGUGGAUCAGCUGGUAAAGCGUUGGCCUCACAGUUGUGAGGUCCCGGGUUCAAUCCCAGUCCCGUCUGUGUGAAGUUUGCAUGUUCUUGUGUGGGUUUUCUCCGCGUACUCCAGUUUCUUCCCACAUCCCAAAAACGUGCAACAUUAAUUGGACACUCUAAAUUGCCCAUAGGUGUGAUUGUGAAGGGCGGCUGUUUGUCUCUGUGUGCCCUGCGACCAGAAGUGGGGAUAAUCGGCAAAGAAAAUGGACGGACGGAUUGAUAUUUUUGAGUUGAAGUGCGGGCAGUCGCGUCAUCCGUCCUUUUUCUGAGCCGCAUAUCCUCACAAGGGAGCGCUGGAGCCCAUCCCGGCUAUCGUCGGGUGAACCUCGAACUGGUGACUGGAGAGUCCACACGGGCGGGGCUGGGAUUUGAACCCCGGUCCUCAGAGGUGUGACGCCAAUAACCGGUUGAGCACAUUUUAAUCAUUGUACUACUCUAUUCAAUACUUACUAUAACUAUAAAUAUACGAUAAAUACUAUAAACCGUCACUAGCUCGCAUACGAAAUCGAUGAAAGGAUUCUGUCCGACAACCACCACGGAUAUAUACUUUUUUCAAAUAAUAUUCCUUUAGUGGUGUGCUGUGACAUAUUUCCGAUUUUUAACAUAUGCACCUCGGCGCAAUAAAGGUUGGGAAACACUGUUUUUAAUAAUUCCCGGGUCGUCGUCGCGUAAUAUCUAUUUGACGCGUGUACACCAAUAUGCACGUACCGUAUGUACAGGAGCGGCUCGUACAUCAAGGCUUUGCAAUCUGUGAUUACAUCAUCGAAAAACCAGAACAAAAGCCUACUUGCCCCCCCCCCAAAAAAAAAAAACAAAACAUAUUCGGGGACAUACGCAUUCAUUAUUUUUGCAUAAUUAGCGAGUACGUAGCUGUGCAACUCAAAGGCAAACUGACCACACGGACGGACAAGUGGCGAGUGUGGAUUCCAAAUACAAAAACGGAUCAACAAUCCCUGAAUUGUAAAUUGAUGCGAUCACUUUUUUUUUUUUUUUUUUUGCAUGGCUCCUUUUUACUCAAAAAAAAAAAAAAGCUGAAGGUAGAAGGUCACAAUUGUACAUUUGGCACUUCACUUCAAAACUAAGUUCACAUGUUUGCGUUUUGGAUUUUUUUUUUCUUUUUUUCUGGAACGUAUCCUCAGCUAUUGGAUGAAAAACGAUUGGUUAUAGGAAUUGCUACAUAUUUUCAACGCCAUCUGUAACGCACUAAGAUGCCACAAGGUGAUGCCAAAUCUCCGGCCAACAGGAAAGUAGUCAUCAGUGUCAAGAAAGUCGUUUGAAGUGAUCCAUCUUCACUGCUGCCAGAGAGAAGCUAAUUUUUAAUCUGGAUUGUUACCGGGAGUUACCAAUGCCUGUGGGUGCCACGAGACGGCAGCAAAGCACGACUUUUGCCACGAGAUGGUGGCAAAUCAAAUCGAAUAACGGAGAAAAAUCUGUGAACUUGUAACCGCCAAACGAGGAAUCUGCUUAACUACCAUCUGGCACACAAUGAAUACGAGUUUGACAACCCUUGUUUCAACUUUUAAUAUCGUCGGUGAUUGUCAAAGUUGUACGCAGGCUCCCUCUGGUGGUAAAGGAAGAAUUACUCAAAUGUGGCCUAAUCGACUGCCUAAAUCCAGCACAGUACGCUCGUUGAGUCCAGUUCAGUCCUAUUUCACGUUCGGCUUGCAUUUAAUUUCAUACACUGAAAUUGAAUCACCAUUUAAGGAUUAUUUUCCUCCAUUUUCAAACGGUGCAUAACGUUCGGCUCAAAUUCGAUAUAUUUGUUACGAUGCCGUCGUUACGGUGGCACUCUGUAAAAAAAGUUUGAGCAGUUUUUUUUGGGGAGGCAAAAAAAAAAAAAAAAAAGCCCAAAAUAUUUCGU